rfam:Cricetulus griseus cell line CHO-K1, whole genome shotgun sequence.
AUAUGUGAGGGUGAUCUGUUUACAAUAUAUAUCUCCUGUUCAUCGCCAGAGUUGAUUUGGCUGAUACGCUAGCUUAUUGGGUGCCUUCUGCCUUUCUCACCACUCCAUGUGCAUCCCUCCUGGACUGUACUUCACUUCCAUACAUGAUAAUGAUAACCUUUCCUGCAAAUUCUCAAUCCAGGGAAUAUGGGUAGCCAUACACCUUGCUAAAACCCCCAAGAAAGCUCUUAAUUCCAGUUCAUAUUGAUUAUAACCUUACAACUUAACCUAUUCUAGCAUAGGCUUUCUUACCUGUAAAGUAAGAACUCUGA